rnacentral:lncRNA from 1 species
GCCAUUGAAAUGAAUGAGGAGAGGCUCUCACCCCAUUGAAUGAAUGGGGGGGGUCUCAGCCCAUUGAAAUGAAUGGGGGGGGUCUCACCCCAUUGAAAUGAAUGGGGGG